UCUCUUUCUGGGGAUGAUGAUCUCCUUCCUGAGUCUACAUGGAUGCAAACCGUAUCAAUCAGAAAUGAAGUCCGCACAACUACAUCUCCUGGACAAGACACCACAGGACCUUUUUACUGUGGUGAUGUAUUCCACAGCAGAGAAUAUCCAAUCAAGAGUUCUUUCAGCUGAAUGAUGGACAAGUCAGCCCCUGUAAUGACUGUCAAGUUUAGCACACCUUUGAAUAUUAAAUAAUUUCUCUAAUGAACUUAUAAUACUGUUCAAUUAUUUUUGGUUUUGUAUUUUUUCUUAACUGUUAUUGGAUGAAGCAUUAUUAACUGUAGGUACUGUCAUGGUGACCUCCAUUUUGUGAAGUGUGUGAUUGGGCCUAUGGUGUUCUGAUGCUAUGUGCCACUGUGUAGCCUAGCGUAGUACGCUUACAGGCAGUUUAUAAAGGUUAUGUGUUUAGCACAUUAGCACUGCAAUUGUAUUAAUGUUCUGUGCAUGUUAUUGCCUCCCUUGAUAUCCUUAUCGAUUUAUAACCAACCUCAAAUGCGGCUCAUCUCAGAAUAAAAAGUAUUGUUGGGGUGAAAAAUCAUUUGAUCAAGGCCCUCCUGUUUUUAUUUUUACAAUUACAAGUACUUAGAUCACUAA